rnacentral:rRNA from 1 species
ANUGAGACACGGACCCAGGCCCUAUGGGCGCAGCAGGCGAGAAAACUUUGCAAUGUGCGAAAGCACGACAANGGUUAGUCCGAGUGAUUUCUGCUAAAGAGAUCUUUUGCAAGUUGUAAAACCACUAGUGAAUAAGGGGUGGGCAAGUUCUGGUGUCAGCCGCCGCGGUAAAACCAGCACCUCAAGUGGUCAGGAGGAUUAUUGGGCCUAAAGCAUCCGUAGCCUGCUUUGUUAGUUUUCGGUUAAAUCCAUGUGCUCAACGCAUGGGCUGUCGGAAAUACUGCACAGCUAGGGAGUGGGAGAGGUAGACGGUACUCAGUAGGAAGGGGUAAAAUCCUUUGAUCUAUUGAUGACCACCUGUGGCGAAGGCGGUCUACCAGAACACGUUCGGCGGUGAGGGAUGAAAGCUGGGGGAGCAAACCGGAUUAGAUACCCGGGUAGUCCCAGCUGUAAACGAUGCAGACUCGAUGAUGCAUUGGCAUCUAGCCAGUGCAGUGUCGCAGGGAAGCCGUUAAGUCUGCCGCCUGGGAAGUACGUACGCAAGUAUGAAACUUAAAGGAAUUGGCGGGGGAGCACCACAAGGGGUGAAGCCUGCGGUUCAAUUGGAGUCAACGCCAGAAAUCUUACCCGGAGAGACAGCAGAAUGAAGGUCAAGCUGAAGACUUUACCAGACAAGCUGAGAGGUGGUGCAUGGCCGUCGCCAGCUCGUGCCGUGAGAUGUCCUGUUAAGUCAGGUAACGAGCGAGAUCCCUGCCAUUAGUUGCUAUCAUUAUUCUCAGGAAUAGUGGGGCGAACUAAUGGGACUGCCGUUGUUAAAACGGAGGAAGGAAGGGGCUACGGCAGGUCAGUAUGCCCCGAAACUCUGGGGCCACACGCGGGCUGCAAUGGUAGUGACAAUGAGUUCCAAACUCGAAAGAGAGUGGCAAUCUUCAAACACUACCACAGUUAUGACUGAGGGCUGUAACUCGCCCUCACGAAUAUGGAAUCCCUAGUAACCGCGCGUCAUUACCACGCGGUGAAUACGUCCCUGCUCCUUGCACACACCGCCCGUCGUUUCAUCGAAGUUUGCUUUUAGCGAGGUGAUGUUUAAUUGGCAUUAUCGA